AAGGAUCAUUACCGAGUGAGGGCCCUCUGGGUCAACCUCCCACCCGUGUCUAUCGUACCUUGUUGCUUCGGCGGGCCCGCCGUUUCGACGGCCGCCGGGGAGGCCUCGCGCCCCCGGGCCCGCGCCCGCCGAAGACCCCAACAUGAACGCUGUUCUGAAAGUAUGCAGUCUGAGUUGAUUAUCAUAAUCAGUUAAAACUUUCAACAACGGAUCUCUUGGUUCCGGCAUCGAUGAAGAACGCAGCGAAAUGCGAUAAGUAAUGUGAAUUGCAGAAUUCAGUGAAUCAUCGAGUCUUUGAACGCACAUUGCGCCCCCUGGUAUUCCGGGGGGCAUGCCUGUCCGAGCGUCAUUGCUGCCCUCAAGCACGGCUUGUGUGUUGGGCCCCGUCCCCUCCCCCGGGGACGGGCCCGAAAGGCAGCGGCGGCACCGCGUCCGGUCCUCGAGCGUAUGGGGCUUUGUCACCCGCUCUGUAGGCCCGGCCGGCGCCAGCCGACACCCAACUUUAUUUUUCUAAGGUUGACCUCGAUCAGGUAGGGAUACCCGCUGAA
rnacentral:rRNA from 1 species